ACAACCCCGGGAACCGUGGCUUAUUCCGGAUGAUGCGGAAGGUAAAAGAUUAUUGCCUAGAGAUGAGCUCGCGUCUGAAUAAGUAGUUGGUGUUGUAAGAGGGCCCCCAGGGGAAGAUCCGUAACUGGUUUUAGAGGGAGAUCAACCCCCCCGGGGAUGGGACCCGGCCCCGAAUCCUUCGGGGGGCCGCCGUGGGGAAUUUUUCCCAAAGGGGGAAAACCCGACGGAGCAAUAACGCGUGGGGGGGGAAGGGUUUUGGGUUUUAAACCUUUUUUUUCCAGGAAUAAGAAAGUGAAGGUACUUGAGGAAUAAGCAUCGGCUAACUCCGUGCCAGCAGCCGCGGUAAUACGGAGGAUGCAAGCGUUAUCCGGAAUGAUUGGGCGUAAAGGGUCCGCAGGUGGCAUUGUGUGUCUGCUGUUAAAGAGUGAGGCUCAACCUCAUAAAAGCAGUGGAAACUACAAAGCUAGAGUGCGUUCGGGGUAGCAGGAAUUCCUGGUGUAGCGGUGAAAUGAGUAGAGAUCAGGAAGAACACCGGUGGCGAAAGCGUGUA
rnacentral:rRNA from 1 species